rnacentral:rRNA from 1 species
AUACGGAGGAUCCGAGCGUUAUCCGGAUUUAUUGGGUUUAAAGGGUGCGCAGGCGGGGGAUUAAGUCGGCGGUUAAAUUUUGCAGCUCAACUGUAAAAAUGCCUUCGAAACUGGUGUCCUUUAGUGUAGAAGGAGUAGGGGGAAUUUGUGGUGGAGCGGUGAAAUGCAUAGAUAUCACGAGGAACUCCGAUUGCGCAGGCAGCUUACUAAACUACUACUGACGCUCAGGCACGAAGGCGUGGGGAUCAAACAGGAUUAGAUACCCUGGUAGUCCACGCAGUAAACGAUGAUUACUAGCUGUUUGCGAUACAAUGUAAGCGGCUGAGCGAAAGCGUUAAGUAAUCCACCUGGGGAGUACGUUCGCAAGAAUGAAACUCAAAUGAAUUGACGGGG